GGGAAGGGCAGGGAGACCCCAGGAGCAUAGCUUCUCUCAGGAUGAGGGAUGGGGGCACCCUGGUGUGCUGAAUCUCCAAAAGGGAGCAACUCUGGAUCAAAUAUCCCAUUUGCGUUGCUGACACUUAGAGAAUAAACGGUGGUUAGCAUAAAAACCUGGCAAAGACCCUUGUGCUGUGACAGAGCUCUGCAUCGUGUAGCACCAGGCACCCUGUUUCCUGGAGAGACCUGAGCUCCACUGUCACAAUGGAGACAACACUUCAGGCUCCAUUCUUGGAGCAGGAGGGCUGCUAGGAUAUAAAUUUUUUCUCUUUGCCUACAAAACAGGUAGGAGGAAAUUGGUCUGAUCUAGCAGCAGGAGCUGGUACUUUCUCGAGCUGAACAGCUCAGUGUGUGUGGAAGGGGGUCAGACAGACUUGUUUCACUGACUGAUGGACUCCCACAGCAAAGGUUGAAGCUGUGAGAUAAGUGCAUGCUGCUCUUCUCCUGUGAAAUGAGUUGCUGAACUCAAAGUCUGGGAAGACUUCUAACAGCGCAUAGAUCGUCUUGAAGACUGAAAAUUCGAGAAAACUUACCCUCAUGAAAAAAAAAAAAGGUCCAGAUCUUUAGCAGACUUGGAAGAAAGAAGGGUUUGUUCAGAUGUUUGAACUGUCUGCUGCUGCUGCCUAGUGCUCAGAACAUCACAGUUGAUCCCCUGGCAUCACAAAAGCAUCAACUAGGAGCCCAGUCACCACAGUUUGCUACUGAGUGCCAGGACACUAUAUUUGCUCUGGUGACUAUUCCUCCCAGUGCAGUCGCGUAUCACUGCUACCCUGUCUGUCCAGGAAGCAGAAAAGUGAAACUCGUGCUUGGCACUUCCAUAGGGAUCUCUGAGUGCUAGGAGACAAAGAUGAAAACCAGCUGAUAGGAUACAGGCAACCAUUACAGAGGAAAUACUGGAUGUCAGAAGAGGAACAGGAAGCAAUGCCAAGGUCCAGAACACCUUUGGGUGCUGCAACCACCUGAAACCUCCUGAAAUCACUCACCACCACUCAAACCACUUUUAAUA